rnacentral:rRNA from 1 species
CCUACGGGAGGCAGCAGUGAGGAAUAUUGGUCAAUGGGCGCGAGCCUGAACCAGCCAAGUAGCGUGAAGGAUGACUGCCCUACGGGUUGUACACUUCUUUUGUCGGGGAACAAAGGCGGAGACGCGUCUCCGGAUGAGUGUACCCGAAGAAAAAGCAUCGGCUAACUCCGUGCCAGCAGCCGCGGUAAUACGGAGGAUGCGAGCGUUAUCCGGAUUUAUUGGGUUUAAAGGGUGCGCAGGCGGGAGAUCAAGUCAGCGGUAAAAUGUCGGGGCUCAACCCCGGCCGGCCGUUGAAACUGGUUUUCUAGAGUUGGAGAGAAGUAUGCGGAAUUCGUGGUGUAGCGGUGAAAUGCAUAGAUAUCACGAAGAACUCCGAUUGCGAAGGCAGCAUACCGGCUCCAUACUGACGCUGAGGCACGAAAGCGUGGGGAUCGAACAGGAUUAGAUACCCCUGUAGUC